AUUUAGGAAUGUAGCUAACUUUCUUCUCGCAAAUGCCCUGGAGAAAGGAAAACAGACUCUACGCUAAAUUACAAAGAGAUGCAAAGCUGCCAAGGCAUGCCUCAGGGUGAAGCAACAGGUUGUAUCUUUAAAUGUGAGGUUUGGCCCCUGCUUUUAAUACUCAGCCUUGGAAGAUGUGGAAUAAUACUAAGGAAAGAACCAAGCACCUCUGAUUCCGUCUCUGGGUGUGUGUGUGUGUGUGUGUGUGUGUGUGUGUGUGUGUGUGUGUGUUAUAAGUACCUCCUGCUCAGGAGGCACAGUUAAUAAAGGACUCAUAGGGAACGUUAAACUUCCUUAAGGGUUUGCAUGUUGUGUGCGCGAAAUAGGACACCUGCUUGGUGACUCAGACCCCCAC